rnacentral:sRNA from 1 species
GUAGGUACUUCCACUCCGUUAAUCAAGACUAGCAGAUCUUUUAGCAGGCCGAAAAUUCCAAUUGAUCAGAAAGCAAUAGGCAUUAAGAACAACUAAUCCAGAAGAGAUCUAUAAGGUA